CAGUCGCCACGGGAAUACGUAGGGUGCGAGCGUUAAUCGGAAUUACUGGGCGUAAAGCGUGCGCAGGCGGUUUUGUAAGACAGAGGUUAAAUCCCCGGGCUCAACCUGGGAACUGCCUUUGUGACUGCAAGGCUAGAGUACGGCAGAGGGGGAUGGAAUUCCGCGUGUAGCAGUGAAAUGCGUAGAUAUGCGGAGGAACACCGAUGGCGAAGGCAAUCCCCUGGGCCUGUACUGACGCUCAUGCACGAAAGCGUGGGGAGCAAACAGGAUUAGAUACCCCUGUAGUCCCUGUCUCUUAUAA
rnacentral:rRNA from 1 species